AACCCAUGAUGAGGGCACCUUUUCAAGAGAUCUUUAAAUUUCUCUCAUGCAUCAUAUAAUAUCUCCAUAUCAAAUUGAAUAAAGAGAUGUCGUUUCUCAACUU
rfam:Gossypium raimondii Chr07_contig_871, whole genome shotgun sequence.